UNAAAGUUUUAACUUGGANGCUGGCGGCGUGUNUAAUACAUGCAAGUNCGAGCGAACUGAUUAGAAGCUUGCUUCUAUGACGUUAGCGGCGGACGGGUGAGUAACACGUGGGCAACCUGCCUGUAAGACUGGGAUAACUUCGGGAAACCGAAGCUAAUACCGGAUAGGAUCUUCUCCUUCAUGGGAGAUGAUUGAAAGAUGGUUUCGGCUAUCACUUACAGAUGGGCCCGCGGUGCAUUAGCUAGUUGGUGAGGUAACGGCUCACCAAGGCAACGAUGCAUAGCCGACCUGAGAGGGUGAUCGGCCACACUGGGACUGAGACACGGCCCAGACUCCUACGGGAGGCAGCAGUAGGGAAUCUUCCGCAAUGGACGAAAGUCUGACGGAGCAACGCCGCGUGAGUGAUGAAGGCUUUCGGGUCGUAAAACUCUGUUGUUAGGGAAGAACAAGUACGAGAGUAACUGCUCGUACCUUGACGGUACCUAACCAGAAAGCCACGGCUAACUACGUGCCAGCAGCCGCGGUAAUACGUANGUGGCAAGCGUUUUCCNGAAUUAUUGGGGCGUAAAGCGCGCGCAGGCGGUUUCUUAANUCUGAUGU
rnacentral:rRNA from 2 species